GCCUGUGUGGCUCAGUCGGUUGAGCGUCCGACUUUGGUUCAGGUCAUGAUCUUGCAUUUGUGGGUUCAAGCCCCACUUCAGGCU
rnacentral:tRNA from 1 species